UAUAACAUUCGCAUGCUCUCUUGGGUUGGUCUCUAUGCUGCUUGGAAAAGUUCAUUGGGCACGCUCGAAAAUCAACUUAAUCAAUUGCCAAUUUGGUUCUCUAGACUCUUGAUGGAGGUUUCAUUAUUUUGCAGUCUAGUGUUCGUUACUGUCAUGAAUUUGGCGAGCAUCUCCUCCAUGUUUGGCCUUUGUUCAAUGGGGG
rnacentral:lncRNA from 1 species